AUGGGGCGCAGCAGGCGCGAAAACUUCACACUGUGCGAAAGCACGAUGAGGGAAUCCCAAGUGCUUGCACGUAAGUGUAAGCUGUUUCUUUGUUUAAAAAGCAAGGAGAGGAAGGGCUGGGUAAGACGGGUGCCAGCCGCCGCGGUAAUACCUGCAGCUCAAGUGGUGACCGCUAUUAUUGGGCCUAAAACGUCCGUAGCCGGCUGAGUAAAUGCUUGGGUAAAUCGUGUAGCUUAACUAUACGAAUUCCGGGUAGACUGCUUAGCUUGGGACCGGGAGAAGCUAGAGGUACUCCUGGGGUAGAGGUGAAAUUCUGUAAUCCUGGGGGGACCACCAGUGGCGAAGGCGUCUAGCUAGAACGGGUCUGACGGUGAGGGACGAAACCCUGGGGCGCAAACCGGAUUAGAUACCCGGGUAGUCCAGGGCGCAAACGCUGCUUGCUUGAUGUUAGUCGGGCUCCGAGCUCGACUAGUGUCGGAGAGAAGUUGUUAAGCAAGCUGCCUGGGAAGUACGAUCGCAAGAUUGAAACUUAAAGGAAUUGGCGGGGGAGCAC
rnacentral:rRNA from 1 species